CUCUAGGUAUACAUGGCAAGCAGGGGCCAGAUUAUAUACACUGCCUUAAAGAUUAUGGUCUUUAUCCUCAGUGCAACAAAAUAAAGUCAUUGAAGAGUUUUAAGUAGAGGACUGACAUGAUGACAUGUUAGGUUCAGCCUUCUGAAGAAUUUGAGAAUCCAUCAUUGCACUGGAAAAUGGAACAAAAAGUCGACUUCAAAGGACCUUGCCCACAAAAGACACCAGAAUGGUGGGUCAUCUGGCAGGGCGAGGCUGGAAUAUGUGGGAGGUGAGGUAGGGGCUGAGAAGGAAUACGGAAGACAGAGCUUCUGGGUACACACCAGCCUGUGUAACGUAGGCGGGAAAGAAAUGUUUUUUACCUGCUGAACUCUGUGCUCAUGAUAGGAUUCUGAUAAGACUGUUCUUUUUGGUAAUGUUCUAUAUGUGUAUACUCUUCCAGACAUUGAGAGGCAUAACGGCAGGGUUAUAACAAUUUAGCAUUUCUGACUUUUCCUCAUGCAUAUUAUUUAUUUAACAAAUAUUUAAUGAAUAUUAUUAAAUGCGA
rnacentral:lncRNA from 1 species